rnacentral:rRNA from 1 species
GAUGAACGCUGGCGGCGUGCUUAACACAUGCAAGUCGAACGGGAAACCUUUUAUUGAAGUUUCGUCAGCUUUACCUGGUUUCUAUUGGCGGCCUGGUGAUUAACUCCUGGUUAACCUGCCCUAUACACGUGGAUAACAACCAGAUAUGGUUGCUAAUACCGCAUAACCUCUCAGCUCCGCAUGUUCCGGUGUGAUAAACUCCGAUGUGAUAGUAUGGAACCUCUUUGGAUUAGCCAGUUGGCACGGUACCGCCCUACCAAAGCGACGAUCCAUAGCCCGGAUGAGAGACUGAACAGACAAAAUGGAACUGAGACACGGCCCAGACUCCUACGGGAGGGAGCAGAGGGGAAUAUAGCACAAUGGGGGAAACCAUGAAGCAGAGACGCCGCGUGAAGGAAGAAGUAAGUCAGUAAGUAAAAUUUUAUCAGCAGGGAAGAUAGUGACGGUACCUGACUAAGAAGCCCCGGCUAACUACGUG